CAAAGUAUUAUACAACAGAAGUUUUUAGUACUUGGAAUGGCCACAAGCAUAAUGAGAAAUCACGAAGGAACUGUGUAUGAGGAUAUAUUUAUUGCCAUUUCUAAUUACCAGUUACUCUUCUUUCUUAAGUAGCAGUUUCGCUGUACUUUGUAAGUGCCAAUCACUUAAGUGGAUGGAAUUUGGGGAAGCAGGAGAACCACGAAGACAUGGGACAAAGUAUUGGAGACUGACUCCAAGACACUGAGCCUUACUGAGGAGAAGACAAAGGACCAAGAUAUCUGGUACCAAGCUAUACUCAAGAAGACCUGUCCACCACAGCAGAACUGAGAGUAGUAUUGAUUCCACAUAAGUACUAAUGUUGGUGUCACAUAAAAAGCAAUUGUGCUGUGGUCAUAAAAAGCACUCAUGCUGGUGCAUUGUUAGUCCAUACAUAUAUAAGACAAAGUUUGUGUGUGUGUGUGCAUAUGAUCCUUAUGGAUUUGAAAACCGAGUUGCCAAUUUUGAUGUAAGAGGAAUAAAAAGAUUCAGUAAUCUUAUGGCUACCAAAUAAAAUGUUUUUUGCACAACAA